AUCUCACAAUGGCAAACUAUGAAACAAUGUAACUUCAUCAAGAGAUUAUUGCUUAUUGAAAACUUUUCCCAAUAUCCCGCUAUGGUGACUUACAACAAAGUUGCUAUUAGCAAUUUUUGAUAGUCUUUUCGGAGA